rnacentral:rRNA from 1 species
AGCUUUUGAGUUAAAUAUAUUAUAAUUUUAGUUAUUUAUUUAAAGUGUUGUAAAACUUUAUUAAAAAAUAUAUUUAGGGGUGAUAGGCUAUUCAAAAACUAAGAUAUCUUGAAUCUAUUUAAAAGUAUAUAGUACAUUCAACACGACUAUUAAGUGAUUAGGCUUAAUAGAUAUAUUAACUUUUUUUUUGAUUUUUUUUAUUAUAAUUUAAUAACUAAAUUUUAUUAAUAAAAUAUUAUACAUAUAUAAAAAUUUAUAAGGAGUAAUUAGAUAAAUUUAAGUUUUAUAAUAAUUGAAAUAAUGUUAAUAUUAGUAUAUGUUUAAUAUUUAUUUGAUGAACUCGGCAAAAAUGUAUUUCUCAACUGUUUAUCAAAAACAUAACUAUGUGUAUAUAAUACAUAGCGGUUUCUGCUCAAUGAUUUAGUUUAAUAGCCGCAGUAUUCUGACUGUGCAAAGGUAGCAUAAUCAAUUGACUUAUAAUUGAAGUCUAGAAUGAAUGAAAAUAAUGGGAAGCCACUAUAUUUUGUAAAUAUAUAAAAAUUAUUUAUGAAGUGAAAAUACUUCUAUAGAUAUAAAAGACGAGAAGACCCUAGAAAUUUUAAGUAAUUAUAAUUUAUAUUUGAGAAUUUUUUUGUUGGGGCGACAAAGUAGCAUAUAAACCUACUUAAGUUAACUUGCACUUUUUUAAUUGUAUGAAAAAAUUACUCUAGGGAUAACAGCAUAAUAUUUUUAAAGUUUAUGACCUCGAUGUUGGAUUAGGAAAUAAUAACUUAAAAGGUUUUUUAUAUUGCUCUGUUCGAGCAUUAAACUCCUACAUGAUC